rnacentral:lncRNA from 1 species
UUUCGAUUGCUGUCAAAAAGCUUCAGAACAGAGACAGAAACUCAGGUGCAGGAAUUUUCAGUAAGUCCUAGAGAUCUGAUGGUUUUGGGAAGUUUGUUGCCUUGUAUCUUCUAGAGUUCAAUUACUUUUGCUGUGAUUCUUGCUGGUGCCUGUAGUGUUCUUGGUUGGCUUCAGCCACAUAUAUUAUUUGUCAUGUUUGUAGACCUGUAGCUAUGUUGUAUGUAGCUCCCAAAGAGCUAAGAGGCAGAUUAUGGUAGAUUAUGUAGUUUUGCCACUUUGGUCAUUGUGUGAGAUUAGGGGGUGUUGUGGUGUUCUUCCUUGCUCC